AUAGACACAAGAUAGGGUGUCUAGGAGAGAGUAAAGAGAAGAAGAAGAGGGUCUUCUUCUAGGGUUGUUAGUUUCAUCUCUUCUCUUCCUCCAUCUUGAGUUUCUCUAAGAGUGUUUCAGAUCUAAAACUUUUUCUCCUACUUCUCAUCUUUGGAAGAGCCCAAAUCAAGAAGAAGGAGGCACCUGAUCAACCAUCGAAGAAGGAUCAGUGCAGUACUAGCAUACUGUGCUGAUUUCCUGAAGCAGGACUUCUGG
rnacentral:lncRNA from 1 species